rnacentral:rRNA from 1 species
CAGCAGCCGCGGUAAUACGGAGGGUGCAAGCGUUAAUCGGAAUUACUGGGCGUAAAGCGCACGCAGGCGGUCUGUCAAGUCGGAUGUGAAAUCCCCGGGCUCAACCUGGGAACUGCAUUCGAAACUGGCAGGCUAGAGUCUUGUAGAGGGGGGUAGAAUUCCAGGUGUAGCGGUGAAAUGCGUAGAGAUCUGGAGGAAUACCGGUGGCGAAGGCGGCCCCCUGGACAAAGACUGACGCUCAGGUGCGAAAGCGUGGGGAGCAAACAGGAUUAGAUACCCCAGUAGUCCAUGUCUCUUAUAC